GAAAAUGUAAUGUUCUCUAUCAUACCUAUGGCACAUUAAUUUUGUUAUUUAUGUGGCUAUGUGAUUCAACUUCAUAUUGUGACCUGAAUUGAAUAGAAAAUGAAAAUUUAUCGUGCAAUUAUUUUAAUAAUUUUUUUAAAAUAAAAAUCUUGUAUUGUGGUCUCAUACUGAGGCAGUUUGUUUUGCAAAAUGCUCCAUAUGAAUGGAAGUGGACAUGAGAGGUCUCUCAAAAACUUCACAUAGCUUUGAGAAGCAAUUGCUAUAAAAUUUUAUCAAUGGUUAAUAUUAACAUUAAGUUUUUCUUGCUGCAGGUGCUUGAUGAGAAAGAGUUAUUGGAUAAAAUAGUCUCUCGAACUCCUCUUCAACGCCUUGGAGAACCAAAAGAAGUCUCAUCUUUGGUUGCAUUCCUUUGCCUACCUGCUGCUUCUUACAUUACUGGACAGAUUAUUUCUGUUGAUGGAGGUUUGAGUGUGAAUGGAUUUGAUCCUGUUAUGAAACUAGAUUGAGCAAAUCAGGCUGUUAUGGCUGAGGAGAUCAGAGAAAAAAUAAAUAUGGGAAUUGUUUGAAUAACAUAGCAUUGUAAUUUGCAGAUGCUCAAUUCAUUUCUUCAUGGUCCCCUUCAGUGAUCUAUUGGUUCCUUCCUCAAUUAUUGGUAUCAUUGUUGAGUUUCAAAGUGGGCAGUGCUUCAAAUUCAGCUUCCUCCUCCUCCUCUUCCUUUAUUAAAUCUAGGGGUUUCUUUUAUUCUUUCUCAUUUCUGGAAUUGGGAACAAUUGAGAAGUUUUUUGCCAACCAGAAUCUUAUCUUUAUCUUUUUUUCCACUUGAAAAUGCACAUUUUUCUUUGAUAAAAGACUAAUUAGACUCCAAAAAACGUGUGUUUGGAAUAUGAUUUAGUAAAUUUGAGGAUAGACGUGGUUAUAUAAAAAAAAAUUUUUUUUAAAGCAAAUCUACUGAUUAUAUUAAUAAAAUUCUAUUAAAUAAAGAGAGAUAUUAUAACAGUCAGCUGCCUGCUUGGCAGAAUUGCGGCAACUGACCGUCCCACAUUGAAAGAUUGAAAGAAAAUUGAUUUGUAUAUAAUAGCUAGUACAGAACUACUAAAUAAUUUGGGUUAAUCAUUUUGGGCCAAGUGGAAAAGUGGGCCUAAAAGUUAUUUGGGCCAGUUCGGGUCCGGCUGUUUCAAUUGGUAUCAGAGCCACCUGGAUCAGAUAAAUUGUGCAGAGCCACCCGAGGUACUAGCAAACCACAAUACCUAAGGGUCCGGUCCUGGUUAGCAAUUAUAAUGAAUUCAGUUGCGACGAGGACGUCGCAAAAAUUUAGCGGGACCAAGUGUAACAGUCAGCUGUCUGCUUGGCGAAAUUGCGGCAACUGACCGUCCCACAACGGAAGAUUGAAAGAAAAUUGAUUUGUAUAUAAUAGCUAGCACAGAACUACUAAAUAACUUGGGUUAAUCAUUUUGGGCCAAGUGGAAAAGUGGACCCAAAAGUUAUUUGGGCCAGUUCGGGCCCGGCUGUUUCAGAUAUCAUCCCAACAGAGAGACGAUUAUUAUUGAUAGAUUCUCUAGCCAAAGUAUGAGUAGGUAGAGUAGUAUUACAACGAAUCCAUCUAACAGAAAUAUCAGUUUUAGAGUCUAACAAAAAUUUAUAAUCAUUUAAAAUCAAACCCCUGCUAAUUUGGCAAAAAUGCUCAUCAAGUGCCUGUCUAAACCCUUGCAUAAGAUAAUUUAGCAAAAUAUUCCUCCUUCUUUCUCAUCUCUCAAGAAUAAAUCAUUAAAGUUUCCCGAACAAAGUCAUGGAAGAGAGUUUCUACGAAAUAAAGUUCGAAUAAGGUUUCAAAACUGACGUCGUCGUUGCAAUUCCAAAAACUCAUAAUAACUAAUAAAUCUCAUUUCAAAACAACCGAAUCAAUAAAAUUUGAAGAAAAACCAACCAUAAAAACAGACUCAUGACUCUCACAUUAACAAAAGAUCUCCUCCUAAUCAUUGUCUAUUAACUGAGAAACAACCAUCAAAAUGUAAAAAAUUAUGAAAAAAUUCCAUAGGAGAACUAAGAGCUUUUGUUUCCAUCAAAAAUAAAAUGUCCGGUUUGUAACUAUGAACCAAAUCCUUCAAUGCAAUAACUGUUGUCAUCAUAAAUCUGCCAAACAGGUCUGUAUAUUCUAAAAAUUAAUUGAAUUGUCUGUGAGAAACAUUUCCACCAUACAGAAAUCAUAAUCAUAAGAUCAGAAUAUCUUUGAAGUUCUUAAUAUGGACAACAACGUCUUCUUCUUCAUCGAUAGUCAAUUGAUGCUGAUCGUUUUCUAUAGGAAGGAAAAAGAAAAAGUUAGGUUUAAGGAAGAGGAAAAAGCGAGAGUAUCGAGUCACGAAUGGCAUAUAAGGAAACUUGCAAUUGAAUUAUAAAUAAAAAAUAAUAAAAAAAAACUUGUUUGCUUCAAUUGGCCAAAUUAUCCUAACACUGUACCCUUUCACAACUAAAAAUACACUAAAUUUUAACACUGUUACGUUAAUAUAAGCAGUUAAAUGUGAAAGAAGCUACAGUAAGAGUGUAAAAGUAACAGCAAUCCUGUUAAAAUUUAAUAAAAUAGACCUUUUAGUUGAGUUUUCAAAAUUACACGUACUAUAUAAUGUAUUUAUUUAAUUUUAUUAGUGGUGUGUAUUUAGUUGAUUCAUUAUUUAAUUUUAUUAGUGGUGUGUAUUUAGUUGAUUUGGUUUAAAAUCGAAUCAAAUCAAAAUAUAUUGAAAAUCGAUAUUUUAUUAUUUGUGAAAAUCAAAUUGAAUCAAUAUAAGAAGAAAUUGAUUUAAAUUAAACCGAUCUGAUUCAAUUCAAUUUGAUAUGAUUAAUUGAAUUUUUGAUUUUUUACACUUUAUUUUUUAAUAUUUUAAAAUUCAAUUAAAAUAUUUCGACUUAUUUAUGAUCUUAUAUUUUAAUAUUAUUAAAAAUAAUAUAUUAUUACUUACUAAUUGAUUUAGUUUAAUUUUAUUAAUUUUUAAAAAUUUUUAAAAAUAAUAUACCACAUCAAAUCAAAAUUUUUAAAAGUAAAAAUCAAAUCGAAUAUAAAAAAUAAUUAAAAUUUUAAAUUAAUUUAAUUCGUUUAAUUUUUUUUUAAAUUUAAUACUAUUCACUUUUAAAUUUCACUGUAAAAAUUAAAUAGUGAUUUUUCUAAGAAAUUUUCUCCGAAGACCUGUCAUAAUAUUCUUCCAAAUCCGGUGAGGCUCUUGUCCAAUUGUCGGUUGAGAUGGACCUUUUAUGCUCUGUUUACGGCAUUGAGCGUUCUGGUACAUUGCCCGCUCGCUGCUCAACUCUGGAGCCAUCAGUAUCAAUCAGGGGUCAGCUAUGUAGACCUUUAACUUUUUUUUUUUUUUUUCUUUUUGAGCUUUGUAAUAAAAAUGAGAUCUCGAGUGUUGCAACAGUGAGUGAUGGAAUCCUUGGUGAUCCAGGAACCAUCUAUUUUGGCAUGAGAAUAGGCAUUCUCCUCAGGACAUUGUCGUGCGUUGCAAGACUGGCAGAACGUGUGCCCUAGUGAAAUGGUACAAUCUCCGCCGCACAGCAGGCUUAUGGCAUCGAUCGGCGGGAGUAAACUUGCAGUAGGACUAGGAGAGGCUAAAUGCAAUAUUAUUGAUCCUCGCAGCAAGAUUCAGUACUGACAACAUCUCAAAUUAAGGCUCGUUUGUCUGCAGAAACAUACUUUUUAGAAAAAAUCUAACAUUUGGAUCGUUUAGAAUAGUGAAGACUAACCCUUUUCAGAGAAAAUAAUUAUUUUUUCUAAAACAUAAUUUUAUUGUAAAAUUUUGUGAAUUUUAUUAAUAUUAUAAAAUUUUUCACAUAUAAAUUAUUUUAUGUAAAUUGUGAAGCACAAAACAUAAAAAAAAAAUUUAAACUUAUUAAUACUCAAUUUAUUGAAUUUAUAAAUUCGUUUAUUAAUAUAUUAAUGAGUUAGCUCGUAAGUAAAUUAAUUUAUUUAAAAUUUUUAAUUUUAAAUUUAUUAUUUUAAAAUUAAAAUUUAUUAAAGUUAUAAAUAAAUUAAGAUGUUCAUAAUUUAUUUUUAUUUAAUUAAAAUUAUUUGAUUUUAAAUUUAAUUUUAAAAAAAUUAAAAAAAUUUAUCAACAAAUUAAAUUAUUUUAUAAGUUAUUUGAUAUUCAUCCUAAUAAAAUUUUAAUUUAAUUCGAUUUAUUUUUUUAAAUAAACUAAUUUUAAACUUAUUGAUAUUUGAGUGAAAUUCAAAUUAAUUAAAUUUGAAUUUAAUUGAAGUUAAAUAAAAAAAUUUAAUAAAUCAAAUUUAAGAUUUUCAAAAUUUAGAUCCGAAUGCGGUCCUAUUUUAUUGUGAUCUCUCUUACAUAACUAUGCUUUUCACUUUUAUUUUUUUAUUUAAUAUUUUUUAUUUAUCAGACUUAAAAUAAAAAGAAAAGGGAGAAUAUAGUAAUUUCAUGUGAGUAGUAUUCGAUUCAAUUCGAAAAGGUAAAUUAAAAAAUUGAUCGAAUUAAAUUAAUUUAAAAUUUUAAUUUAAUUUUUUAUUUAUUUCAGUUCGAUUCGAUUUUUAAUAUUAAAAAUUUUAAUUAUUUUGAUUUGAUUCAGUUUUGAUAAAAAAUCAAAAAAAUCGAACCAAAUUAAUUUAAUGAUAAUAGUAUAUUAUUUUCAAUAUUAUAGAGAGAUUAAAUUAUAUUAAGAUUAAAAUAUUUUAAUUAAAUUUUAAAAUAUUAAAAAUAAAAGAAAAAGAUAAAAAAUAAAAAUUUUAUUAAAAAUUUAAUAAUAAUAGUAUAUUAUUUUUAAUAAUCUUAAAAAAUUAAUAUUAACGUUAAAUAUUUUAAUUAAAUUUUAAAAUAUUAAAAAUAAAAAUAAAAUAUAAAAAAUAAAAAAUUUAUUAAAAAUUUAAAUUAAUUAAAUUAAAUUAAAUCUGAUGGAUUCAAUUUAUUUUUUAAUUAAAAUAAAUUUAAUUUAAUUUUUAUAAAUAUUAAAAUUUUAACUUUUACUUUAUUCCAUUCUAUUUUAAAUCCAGCCAAAUUUUCAUGAAUGCACUAUAUGUUUGAGGAAAGGCUCCUUGCACGUUGUCAUAAAGAUAACGAAUCAAACAAAAUAAUUCAGCAUUAAUAGGUCAAACACCCAUCUAAUAAUUUGAAUUUUCUUUUAUUUAUUUUAUUUUAUUAUUAAUAAAAAUUUUAAAAUAAAUUUAAUAUUUUUUUAAAAAAAAUUAAAUUAUUACGAAUUUUUACAAUAUUAAGAUAAAGUUAAAAAUCAUAAAUAAAAUUUUAAAUUAAAAAAACAAAUCAGACCAAUUGAAGAAUCAAACUGACCCACCUUUUUCCUCAAGGAGAUCCCUUCUCCUCCAUUUUCUCUUUCUACUUUUCUUUUUCUUCUUCUGUUUACUGUCUCUCUCUCUUCGAUUUCUUCCUCUCCCAAUCACCAUAUCAAGUAAAAUUAGUCUCUUUAGAUUCCUAUGCUCGUGAACUUCGCAUAGAUACUAGGAUUAUUCACCGUCGUUGUUUGGGUUGCACCAAUCAAAUAUUCAAAGUUCAUGAUCUUUUACAUUCUCUCUAAGAUUUCUCCCACACCAGAUAUUCUAUCCAAAAUCUGAAACUAUCAACGUGUUCUACUCAUCGAGAGCUUCGUGUAGACACCAAUUUCAUAAUUUUUCGGCAACAAAAAAUUUUAGAGAUCCAACGGUGAGUUUUCAGACCCUAGAGUUGUAUUUUUAAUAAAUUAAAAUUAUAUUUGUACUCAUAAUGUUAUGGAUUUUAUGUAGAUACCUUCAUUUUGGAGAAAUUCUACCGGAAUUUAAGUCCAAACCGGCUCAGGGACUGAUCUUCAAAAAGGUCAAUAUUAUAUUCUUUUUCAACAUUUUCAGACGUUUCGGACGCGUUUCAGUUGUUAGAAUUGAUUUUGGUAAACCCAAAUUCAAAAUUGUCAUGUUAUCGUAACGUGAUAUAUUAUUAAAUAUCUUAGGUAGGACAAGUAAAAUCAAUUGUUAUAAUAAGGUAUAUUAUUGAGAACUCUAGAGAAUAUUUGUAAAAUUUUUAAAAUGUUUUUAGUAUUUUAUUAGACGGGAGAGAUUUUAAUGUUUUGACAAGCGCCCAAUGAGUAAAAUAUUUUUGUGCUGCGGCCUAAGGCUAUUGUAAGGCUAUUGUACUUGUAGACAUAGACUAACUGUGUUUGUUUACGUAGGUUCUAAGUAUGGGAAACUCCGUCAAAUUUUUGUUCUUAAGUAUGAGAAAACUCUGUCAAAUUUUUGUUAUAGGCUUAGAAUGUUUUUGUCACUCUCUUAGUUUGUUUGUGGUCUGUCCUUGAUAAUCUUCUUUCCAGCAAAACUAUUGGGUGUCAGGUCACCCCAUUUUGUGAAAUUCUAACAAUUAUUUGAUAAAUUUAUGUAUUUAAUAUUAAUAGAGACAUUUUAUUAUUUGUAAUUAGGCUGUCCUAUUUUAGUUAUCCUCUUUCAAUCAGAAUGAGUGGAGGUGGUAUGCUUUUAUCUCUAGAGGAUAGAGUGAAGUGUGACACUUUGAGGUGGUAGUUUUUUUUUUUUUUUUUUUUCCAACUUCAUCUUCCUUGCAACACAGAUCACAGAACAGAAUCAUGGCAAAGGCAGAGAGCAGUUUCAAGCAGCCAAGGUGGUCUCUUCAGGGAAUGUCCGCUCUUGUCACUGGCGGCACUCGCGGAAUCGGGUGUCUCUCUCUGUCUCACUUCUUUCUUUCUAUGGACAAAAUAUAAAUUUCCCUGUGGUGCUGAUUGUGGGGUUUUAUAGAAAUGCAACGGUGGAGGAGCUUGCUGGGCUAGGAGCUAGAGUUCACACAUGUUCAAGAAAUGAAGCAGAGCUAAGUAAGUGCUUGAAAGAGUGGGAAGCCAAGGGUUUUGUGGUCACUGGAUCAGUUUGUGAUGUAACAUCUCGGGCCCAGAGAGAGAAGCUAAUUGAGCAAGUGGGUUCCCUUUUUAAUGGCAAUCUCAACAUUUUUGUAAGUAAUGUCGGCAUUUCUACAUCUCAUGAUUUUGUAUGUUUUAUCUGCAGUGAUGUUUUUAAUUUUCUUGUAAUAGUUUUCUGCAACUUUGAUUGCAUUGCCUUGCACUGUUUUACAUACAUAUAUUAAUAGACUCCGCGUAUACUUGCACUUUUUGACUGAUUAUAAUUAAUUUAUGGAAAAAUUACUACAAAGUUUUUAUGCUACGAGAAAAUUCACUAAUUGGUCUCUCUAUUUUGAAAAUGCAUUAAAAUCGUACUUGACAUCUUAAAAAGUUGGUUAUUCCGUUAAUUUUAGCAGUUAAAUCUUGCAAAAAAAUUUAAAAUGCUCUUGAUAUAGAUAAACUGAUUAGUAAGCUUUUUAAAGAUACUCAACAAUUAAAUUAAUAGAAAGAUUUAUUAGUAGAUUUUUUAAAAUGUCAAUGACGUUUUAAUGCAUUUUUUAAAAUCGAUAGACCCAACUAGUAAGUUUUCUCAUACCAUAGGGACUAAAUAACAAUUUUUUCUUAACUUAUUGAACACCUAAACUAAAUUGUAAUUAUUCAACACCUGAACUUGUAAAAUUCAUAACAAUUAAACACAAAUUAAUCAUAUUGUUGAUAAUUUAUAGUAACUUAAUCAUACAUUGUUAGUGUAUUAUAAAUUUCGCUAAUUAUGCUCAAAACUUUUAUAAAUCGAUAAAAUUAGAUGAUAUAAUUUUAUUAUUAUAUGAAAUUUUAGAAUUUAAUUAGCAAAUUUUUAGUAAUAAGUUGCCUUUCUUUUUUAUAAAUCAUCAAUAAAAUGAUUAAUUUAUAUUUAAUGUUAUAAUUUUUAUAAGUUUAGGUAUCAAUAAGUUACAAUUUUUGUUCAGGUGUGUAAUAAACUAACAUGAAAUAGUACUAUUUAGCCAAUUCUUUUUCUAUAGAUGUCGGAAAUUUUAAUGUGCUUGAUCUCUUACAUUCAGGUUAAUAAUGUUGGCAAAUAUAUGUGGAAAGCAACUACUGAGUUCUCUGCUGAAGAAUUUUCAGAACUCCUGAACAUUAACUUUGAAUCUGCAUACCAUCUGUGCCAACUUGCACAUCCUCUUCUAAAAGUGUCUGGAGCAGGAAGCAUUAUAUUCAUUUCCUCUGUCGCUGGUCUUGUGCACAUUGGUCAUACCGGAUCAAUUUAUUCAUCAGCCAAAGGUGAGUUACUGUUGUAAAACUAGUCUAUUUUUUUUAGUAAAAACCAUAUGGCAUUGGGAAUUUAUGGACUCGAUUAAUUCAAAUUCGUAUCGAGCAGAUUUAUUAAGAGAACAAACAUGUAUAUCCAACUGACUAACUUGUAUAUCCAAUUUGCUGAUUACAGCUGCAAUUAAUCAGCUUACAAAAAAUUUGGCUUGCGAGUGGGCGAAAGACAAUAUCAGGACAAAUUGUAUUACGCCAUGGGUUAUCAGAACCUCACUUGUGGAAAAUGUAAUGUUCUCUGUCAUACCUAUGGCACAUUAAUUUUGCUAUUUACGUGGGUAUGUGAUUCAACUUGAAAGUUUCAUAUUGUGACCUGAAUUGAAUAAAAAAUAAAAAUUUAUCUUGCAAUUAUUUCAAUAAUUUUUUUUAAAAUAAAAAUCUUGUAUUGUGGUCUCAUACUGAGGCAGUUUGUUUUGUAAAAUGCUCCAUAUGAAUGGAAUUGGACAUGAGAGGUCUCUCAAAAAC
rnacentral:lncRNA from 1 species